rnacentral:rRNA from 1 species
AUUGAACGCUGGCGGCAGGCCUAACACAUGCAAGUCGAACGGUAGCACAGAGAGCUUGCUCUCGGGUGACGAGUGGCGGACGGGUGAGUAAUGUCUGGGAAACUGCCCGAUGGAGGGGGAUAACUACUGGAAACGGUAGCUAAUACCGCAUAACGUCGCAAGACCAAAGUGGGGGACCUUAGGGCCUCACACCAUCGGAUGUGCCCAGAUGGGAUUAGCUAGUAGGUGGGGUAACGGCUCACCUAGGCGACGAUCCCUAGCUGGUCUGAGAGGAUGACCAGCCACACUGGAACUGAGACACGGUCCAGACUCCUACGGGAGGCAGCAGUGGGGAAUAUUGCACAAUGGGCGCAAGCCUGAUGCAGCCAUGCCGCGUGUAUGAAGAAGGCCUUCGGGUUGUAAAAUACUUUCAGCGAGGAGGAAGGCAUUAAGGUUAAUAACCUUAGUGAUUGACGUUACUCGCAGAAGAAGCACCGGCUAACUCCGUGCCAGCCGCCGCGGUAA